AAGUCUUUACGGAGAAAGCUUUAUGCACCAUUGGAUGAGCCUGCACUUGAUUAGUUUGUUGGUAGGGUAAUGGCCUACCAAGACUGUGAUCAAUAGCUGAUUUGAGAGGAUGAUCAGCCACAUUGGGACUGAGACACGGCCCAAACUCCUACGGGAGGCAGCAGUGGGGAAUCUUGCACAAUGGAGGAAACUCUGAUGCAGCGAUGCCGCGUGAGUGAAGAAGGCCCUUGGGUUGUAAAGCUCUUUCGUCGGGGAAGAAAAUGACUGUACCCGAAUAAG
rnacentral:rRNA from 1 species